rnacentral:rRNA from 1 species
AGAGUUUGAUCAUGGCUCAGGAUGAACGCUAGCUACAGGCUUAACACAUGCAAGUCGAGGGGCAGCAUGUUGGUUGCUUGCAACCAAUGAUGGCGACCGGCGCACGGGUGAGUAACGCGUAUCCAACCUACCCUUGUCCAUCGGAUAACCCGUCGAAAGGCGGCCUAACACGAUAUGCGGUUCUCAGCAGGCAUCUAACGAGAACGAAAUGUGAAGGAGAAGGAUGGGGAUGCGUCUGAUUAGCUUGUUGGCGGGUAACGGCCACCAAGGCGACGAUCAGUAGGGGUUCUGAGAGGAACGGUCCCCANAUUGGAACUGAGACACGGUCCAAACUCUACGGGAGCA